AAGAUUCUUGUAGUUUUGAAGAACCUCCUGAACCCCACGGGCUGUAUUGUAGUGCUCUUGUCCUAAUACGUGUGGAGAAAGCAUUCUGGAGGUGGAAUCAAGUGGAUCGACAGCAGGAUAUAUACCAAGCUCAGAUAUCUGUCUCGACAACACAGUUGUCGCAUCAAGAUGUGCAAAGGUUGUUGCAGGUGCUGGAUCUGUCAAGUCAUCAGCAGGUACAUAAAUAGCUUGAACAGAGGUGAUAGAGCCCUUCUUUGUAGUGGUGAUCCGUUCUUGAAGACCUCCCAGAUCAGUGGCCAGAGUUGGUUGGUAACCAACAGC
rnacentral:misc_RNA from 1 species